rnacentral:lncRNA from 1 species
UGAUAGAUGAAGCAUUGAUGGACUCAUUUUCCUCUACAGAAGUAAGCAGAUGUGUAAAUAUUGGACUUUUAUGUGCACAAGAUCAUGCUGCUGAUAGGCCAUCAAUGGCAGCCGUAGUUUCUAUGCUAAGCGGUGAAAAAACAAAGCUUCCUGAACCAAACCAGCCUACUUUUACGUUUAAAAGCAUCUCCACCAGCAAUUUUCAAUCACAAAGCAACUCUACAUGGUCUGUAAAUAAGGUCACCGAAUCAAUCAUUGAACCACGAUAAACGCCAACUUGUCGGUUAGCUUGUAUUAGACUUUGACAAUCUCACGCUUAUCCUUUUUUUAGAUUUUAGUCAUACCUAGCUUGAGAUUAUUAGUUCCGUGCAAUCGGUCGAUUCGAUUUUGAAUCGAAUCGAAUUAAUUUGAAAAUUAAAUUGUAAAAAUAUAAAAAAUUAAAAAAAUCGAUUAUAAAUAUAUAAUCAAAUUGAAUCGAAUAAAUAAAAAUUGGUUUGGUUUAAAUUGAAAUUUAUAAUUUUUUUAAUUUUUUGCUACUAAAAAAAAAAAUAUACUGUAAAAUUUUCAAAAGUGUUUAUGAAAAAACAAACGAUUAAUAAUUUUUAAUAAUAAAAAUAAAAAAUAUAUAUGAAUAUUUAUAAUAAUACCAAAUACACAAAGAAUUCUGAUAAAAUAAAAAUAAAAGAUAAAAUAAAAAUAGAAGAAGUUUCUUUGCUAUAUUAUUCACAAUAAUCGGAUUUUCGCCGAGGUAUAAUAAAAUAAUCAUAUAAUAAUUUAAUAAAUAUUUCACAUAAAUUUAUUUAUAAAUAUAUUUUGAAUAUAUAAUGAUAAUAUUUAAAAAAAUUUAUAUAAAUCUAUAUAAAAUUUAAAAAUAUAAAUAAAAUUAAUAUUUUAAAUAAUAAAAAUAUAUAUAUAAUUAAUUUUUUGAUUUUUUCGAUUAUUUAAUAUGUUUAAAUCGAAUCGAAUUAAAAAUUAAAUAAAUUAAAAAAUAUUAACUAAAUCAAACUUUUUAAUUAAUUAAAUUAUUAAAUUAAAAUUAAUUAAUUCGAUUUAAUUUUUUAAUUCAAAUCAAUUUACAUUUAUCCGUAAAGAUUAUUGAGUGUAUACAUUAUCUCACUAUUUGAAAUGAAAAAUUUUAUAAAAAUUUAAUUUAAUUGAUUUUUUAAAUAAUUUUCUUAUUUGUAAUAAAAAAAUUUAAUUCUUUUUAGUUUAAUUGAAUAUAAGUUUGUGGAUUUGAAUUUGGCCUUUAGACUUUUAGGCUUAUAUCUCCUUUUCAUUUGGCCCACUAGGCCUUUAAAUACAAUGGUAACAGCAUGUUAGAAAAAAAAAAACCUGCAUCAGUCCAAUUUAAAUAAGCAAUUUCUUAAAAAAUAAUCUGUUGGACUGGAGCAAAUCAAAAUCAAACUGAAGUCGAAUUUGAACUCUGCUCUCCAGUCUCCAAUUCUUGAUUUCAUUAAUAAAACAGAAUCAGACCUGAUCUAACAGGAGGAUUAGUUCUGUUUAUCUUUUUGUUAUUGGGUUGAAGUAGGGAAGUUUUAGAUUUAUUUUAUUUGUGAUCAAUGUUGAUAACUGUGAGGUUUCACGCUUCCUUGAUCGAGUCAAAACUCAUAAAAAUAGAGUGGGUUUUGAGUCCGAAACGCCUUUCGGAAGAUCCACUCAAUAACUCCAGUUCGGAUUCCAUCACAAAGGACGGGCCGGAUCACCUCAGAGCUCAAACUCAGUCCGUAAUACGCCGACCCAAUAAGGCGACAUGGGGAAGAAUGAGCAGAUCCCAUCCUUUCGCAGUCCUGUUCGCACGCGUACCGAAAAAAAUUAAAUGGCCACUUGACAGAGAUAAGGUGACUGACAAAUACGGACCUGACCAAUAAAAACAGACGUCACUUUUGCAGAAAAGCUGUUAAAAGCCACUUGCAAGUAAGAAGAAAGAAAUAAAAAAAGAGAGGAUCUUCUCAGAGACCAAAUUUACACACACUUUUAAUCCAAACUAAUUUCUAAAUCUCAGAGUAUCAAAUGUUAUAAAACUUUAUACUGAUUUAUGAUAUAGCCUCUAAAAUAAAUUAUAAAAAACUAAUUAUUUUACACAGAAUAUAUAUUUAUUAUUUUACUUUUAAUUAUACAAUACAAUAUUCAUCUGUAAUAUUUUAUAUUUUCAAAACUGUAUUAUAAUUUUUUUAAAUUAUAAAAUUCUUAAUUAAUUAUGUUAAACAUUGAUACAAUUUGAAUAAUUUAAUCUAAGAAAAUAAAAAUUUAUUAAUUUUAUAUAUAAUUAAUAUUUAAAAAAUUAAUAUUUAUAUAAUACCUUUUUCAAUUUAAAAAAUAUAAUCUAAUUAAAUUUUAUAUAUAAUUAAUAUUUAAAAAAUUAAUAUUUAUAUAAUACCUUAUUCAAUUUAAAAAAUAUAAUCUAAUUAAAUUUUUAAAUUUUUAUUAAGAAUUUAAAUUAUAAUUUACUUAAAAUCAAAUAAUUUUUUUAAGAAUAAAAUUUAAAAUCCUUCAUAUUUACUCAAAUACAUUUACUAGUAGAUAAAAUUUGAAUAAAUCAAAUUUACUCAAAUUUAAAUUAUAAUUUACUCAAAAUCAAAUAAAAUUUUAUUUAAUAUAAUAUUUUUAUAAUAAUAAAAUAUUAUUUUAAUAUAAAAAAAUUUAUUUUUAAAUUUUAAAAAUUAUUUACUAUUUUAUUUUUUAAAAAUUUAUAUUAAUUAAAAUGCUUCUCUUUUUAUUCUAUAAAUUUUAUUAUUUUAAAAUUAUUAUUUAUUUUUUAAAUACAAUUAAUAUAUUUAAAAUGAAUUUAUUAAUAUUUAUAUUUAUUAAUACAAUAUAUUUAAAAUGAUAAUAUUUAAAAAAAUUUAAAAAAAUUUAUUAAUAUUUAAUAAAAAUUAAUAUAUUUAAAAUGAAUAUAAUUGAAAAAUUAAUAAAAAAUAUUAUAUUUUUAAUAUAUAUAUAUAAUAAAAUAAAUAAAAAUUAUAAAAAAUAAUAAUUUUUAUAUUUAAAAUUGUAAAAAUUAAUAUUUUAUUAUUAAAAAUAAUAUUAUAUUAUAUAAAAUUUUAUUUGACAUACUAAUUAGUUAAAAAAUUUUAAAAUUUUUUUCAUAAAAAAAAAAUUAUUUAAUUUUAAAUAAAUUUAUGUGAAUUUAAUUCAACUUAUUUAUAUGAUUUAAGAGUUAAACAAAUAUUCGGGCGACAAACAUUUGCGACUUGCGAAACCCGUGCUUAGCUUCGCUUUCACCCAUCUUCAUCACAGUGAGCACGUGCCAAAGAUCCACCAGAUCAAAUGUGAAAAGGUCGACCGCUACAACGUUUUUUACGGUUGCGGCCAAUAGUUGCGGGUCGGAAAUGGAUAUGCCAGAGAAGGAAAAAUCCGGCGUUUUUGGUUCCGACAUAUUUUUAGAAGUUAGCGAACGUUCUUUGGACUCCGUCGGUCCACACCCACUUUUUGACCAGGAAAAACUGUAGCUAGUAGCUACUAGACGCCCCAUAAACAAAAGGUAUGGACUUUUUGGCUGGUGCCACGAGCUCAGGCAGCUUGGAGCUUAAUACCGUACCUCCUCGACAUGUUGAAAAGAAUUUUUUAUCAUAAUUGUAAAUAAAUCAAUGAUCAAAUCUUAUUAUUUUUAAUAUAAUAUAAUUAUAAGACAUAAUUAAAGAUACUAUUAAAAAUUUAAUUAUUUAUAUUAUAUAUUAUAUAAAUUCUGUAAUUUACUAUAGAAGAUGGAAGAAAAUAAAAAUAAUUUUCUUCCUAUAAUUUUAAGAUGGUAUCAAAGUAGGUUUCGAUCUAAAAAUAUAGCCGUCCUGUAAUAAUCCUUUACUAGAUAUCUUUUUCAACUUCUUUCUCUCACCAAAAUAACAAUGACCGACUUUCCCAGCCCGGCUGACCAAUCCCAAGCAAUAAUUGAUCAAAUAGCAGACCUGUCACAAAAACUAUUCUAGUUAAUUCAGAAUAGCCAAAAUGAAAAUUAGAAAUCAGUGAAUCAAUUCACUCUUGAUUCAGCACAGCCACCGUCCGACAUAAAAUUGAAUGAUUUCAAUUAUGUUAUAUGGACAAAGAUGAUGGAGAUGUUUAUCACUAGGCGGGGGAAAUCAAACCAUCUGACUGGGACUCCCCCCCUCCGACAGAAACAGACCCUGCAAUUUACCUGUGGCAAACUAAUGACAGCAUUGUCCGAGGAUGGUUAAUCCAGACGGUAGAGCAGAAGCUCCGUCCAAAUUUAUUGCAGCACAAGACAAGCAAAGGACUCUAGGAUGCCCUCAAGAUCAUAUUCAAUACAGGUAGCAACAAACUUAUCAUUUACGAGUUACAGUCUAAAGCAUACAAAUUAACACAACAAGGAAGCAAUCUGGAAGAUUUAUACAACGAUCUUCAGGCCAUCUGGGCCGAGAUCGAUGAAAGACAACCGACCAGAAUCGAAGGAGACAACAAUAUUAUUAUCCGGAAUUGAGAAAUCCAGGAGGAACGUCUGUACCUAUUUUUGGCUGGAGUAUAGUCGGACCUCGUUCCAGUCCGUCGAGAAAUUCUCAACGAAGAGCCAUUGCCGACCUUGGACAAUGCCUACUCUCAGCUCUGAGGUGAGAAGUUGCACCGUGACAUCCACGUUCCUCUUCCAUCACCAGCGACAGUAGGUUCCGACCUCGUGGGUGUCGGUCUAUUGGCUAAAAAUGGGUCAGACACAGACAAGUCAUCACUCCGGGAUGACAAAUCGGGCUUAAAAUGCACCCAUUGCGGUGGAUCUCGACAUACCCGGGACGUAUGCUUUAAGAUCAUAGGGUAUUCAGAGUGGUGGGAGGAAAACAAGACCCGUAAGAAGAAAGGAAAGGGACAAGGCGCAGGGAAUAUGGCCACAGUCACUACCAGCGGCACCAAAAGGCUGCCUGCGGCAACAAUUUGAUUGGACAAACGGAAGAAAACUCAGGCGACGGACAGAGCUCAGGGGUUGCAGCAGCGCUACAAGGAGCCGCGAAAGGAGGAGACACGGGUGUCCCUUAUGAUCGGGAAGGAGGUAUUUUAGGGUUAGAAAGGAGGGCAAAUGACCUUUCUACCCCUAUCUCUUUAAAUAAAUCUAAAUGUGCCCCUGCUUGUUUUAAUUCUUGUAAAAUUAAAUCCCUGGUCUCGAAUAUUUUAGAUAAGUCUGUUUGUAAUCCCAAAACUGAAUCGUUAGCCCUUAAUUCUAUCGGUCAUGCUAACAAGGUACAAAAUAAUAGUGGGUGGAUAUUUGAUUCAGGAGCCACAGACACUAUGACUUGAUUCUUCAGAUUUUGUUGUGUCAGCCCUACCCCCAAAAUCCAAUAUUCUAAACGCUACCGGUGGCUCCUUCUUUGUCAUCGGUGGUGGUACAGUUUCUAUAACCCCACUUUAAAUGUCUCCAACAGCCUCUAUGUACCUUCCUUAUCUUGCAAAUUACUCUCUGUCAGUCAGAUCACCAAACAGUUAAAUUGCAGAGUACUCAUAUAUCCUCAUUUUUGUGUUUUGCAGGAUAUUCAUACGGGCACAGUACUGGGCCGUGGUACUGAGAAAAAUGGACUAUACUAUGUAGAGGAGGUCUCAAGUACUAGGUCAGCUCAUUUAGCUCAAGGGUCCUCAACCCGACAGUUAUGGCUCUGACACCGGCGCUACAGCCAUCCCUCAAGUGAUUAUCUUGUACUUUAUUUCCUGAGUUUAAAUCCACUGACAUUCCAGUUUGUACUUCAUGCGUGCUUGCUAAGAGUCAUAAGAGUACUUAUCAUAUAUCCACAAAUAAAUUUGAUACUCCUUCUCAAUAAUACACUUUGAUAUAUAGGGGCCUGCCCCGGAAACUGUCUCCCCUGAUUAUAGAUACUUUGUGACUUUUAUUGAUGAUUGCACUCGUGUUACUUGGAUUUAUCUGUUAAAACAAAAAUGCAAAGUGGCUGAGAAAUUCUGUGAUUUUUUCCGCAUGAUUAAAAUCCAAUUUCACAGGACCAUUCAAGUCCUCCGAUCUGACAAUGGGGGGGAAUUUGUUAAUAACCAUCUCCAAACCUUUUUCCGGGAUAAUGGGAUCCUUCACCAAACUACUUGUCCUUAUACACCACAGCAAAAUGGGGUUGCUGAAAGGAAAAAUCGACAUAUCAUUGGGACUGCCCGAGCCCUAUUGUUUGAAGCCCAAGUUCCUCCUAAGUUUUGGUCUGAAGCAGUUGCCACGUCCAUUUACCUCAUCAAUCGACUUCUGUUGUAAUACCCGGCUAAAUCCGGCAUCGGAAUUCCUACCGUCCGGUGGAAUUCAAGGAUGUCAGAGGUUUUUAGAAGGGUAGAGUGAAGGUUUUAAGUAUUAUUUUAAAGUUUUAAAUAGAAUAGGAUUGAGUUUUUGCAGAGAAAAAGGUUUUGGGGACAAAGGCCAGGUUCGGCCGCCGAAGGUAAGUUCGGCCGCCGAAAGUGCCCAAUGUUCGGCCCCCGAAGUUUAAGUUCGGCCCCCGAACGUUGCAUGGUUUUGCAUGCAGUUUCGGCAGCCGAAGCUGAGGUGGUCGGCUAAGCUGUGCACGCUCCUCAGUCCGUGGUUUGGCCAGGUGUUUGCCUCCAGAUCGUGAGCAGAGGUUAGGCCACGUUUCCCUUGACUCAUCUGCAAGCUUUUAAUCAGCUUGUGCAGAGGGUUGAGUGUGUUUCAAAGGGUUUUGAAGGUUUUUGAGAGAAAAGAGAGAAAAGUGAGGUUUUGGUAAUGUUUGAAGAGGAGUUGCUGAGUUUAGUGUUCAGGUUGUUCCUCUUCUGGUUUCAGGAGGUAAGGGAAGCUUUUAUGUUUAUUUUACUAAGUUUUUAACAGCUCCAAAAGUGGUCAAGGGUAGAGAUGCAUGAGGUGUAUGCUUAGGUUAGUGUUGAUGUGUUUAUGUAGAAGUUUGAUUACAUGUUAUGUUUGCUGUUUUGUUGGGGUUAAUAGGUAGGUUUGGACCCCUUUGAACAUAUACCAGAGUAUAUGUGAGCUAAGAGUGAGUUAUGCAUGUUAGAGAAGAGGAGAGGUUGAAGGAAGGAAGUUGCUGGCGAAGCUGAGUUCAUGAAGAACUCAGGUUCGGCAGCCGAAGAGGAGAUUCGGCCGCCGAAGGUACUUGAGUUUCGGCUCUGUUCAGGACAUUCGGCCGCCGAACCUGCCGCCGAAUGUGUUCUGUCCAGCCUUCUUUUGCAUGCUUUGUGUGAUUGUUUUUAGAGGUUCAGAAGGGAUUAUGGGGGAUUGUUUAAGAGUUGAUAAGAGUAUGUUUGACACCUCAUUCGAGUCCAUUUGUGUAGGAUUGGACCCGACAGUUCAGGGAGGUCGUCAGGAUUAGCAGUUGCAGAGUCAGUCAGGUUUCUGCUUGAGGAGCAGAGGUGAGUAGAACUAAACUUAAUGUUUUAUAUUAAAGUAACAGAAUGCUUGUUAGCAUAGUUCAUGCAUCAUGAAUGCUAUGAUAUGUAUUAGGGUGAUUUCAUUAGAAUCACGAAGAUGGUGCAUUGCAUUAUUCAUUUGAUAGUGAGGAUUGGACCAAGGCGACAUCAAUAGCCCGUCGAGGGAGUUUUGAGGUCAUGUCUAAUCCAAGAUGUGGAAUGUUUGAGUUGUGAUGCAUUUUCAUACAAGAUGCGUAUGAAUGAACUGUUUUCAGUAUUUCUACUCACUGGGCUAUAGUAGCUCAUCCCUUUCCCUUAAUUCCAGUUUUGCAGGUACAGAGUUAGCUGGGGAGUCAGAAGCAUCAGAGUGUUGGCUCCAGUAUGCUUGUGUAAUAGUGUAGUAGUGGACAUGAUGUAAAUGAAAGAGAUAUUUAUUACAGAUGUAUAGAUUGUCAGUUAAUGUGCUUAUGGUCUAGUGUGUGCUCUGCCUAUAGUAUGUGUUGAUCCCUUGUGUAUGCAUAUAUCCUGUUUUAAAUUUCUUGAUGAGAAAUGAGUCAAACCAGGCUUAAUAAAUGUUGUGUUUCGAAAACCCAGUGAAUGAUAACUGUGAGGGAAGAUAGGGUUUAAUUCCUUUGACCCAAGACCAGUGCAGAGGAAAGACCAGGUUUGAUUCCUGUGAUCCAUAGAGAGGCCAAUAGAGAAGACCAGGUUUGAUUCCUGUGACUCUAUGGUAGCUAAGUUAACUUAUGAUAUGCUGACCCUUACAGAGUGGGUUCUAUGACACGGAGCAUAGUGCAUGGAGGUUACUUGGUAGAGUAUCACUGGUUUAGCCCUGAGGGCUAUUUCAGAUUGAGAUGUCUGAUGUUUUAAAGGUUAAGUCUGGUAAUUUUAAAGAAAAGUUAGGAGUCGUGUUGGAUCAUAUAUGGGAUUUUAUCAGGACCAUAGAGUUCAUAGCAGGCUUACUACAGGUCUAGGCGGCCUUAAGCCGAUCUGGAUCCUAGUGCCGAGCACUUUGGGCCGUUACAGAGAGGUACCGGUUUCCGGGGUGUUACAUCUGUCUUCCGUCCUUAUUUUCCAAUCUCCCUUGCAUACCUUGUCCUCUCAUCACACCAUCCCUUCACAUCUCAACCUUCCACCUAAAAUCUUUGGUUGCACAGUUUAUGUUCACAUUCCUAAAACACACCGCACUAAACUUGAUCCAUGUGCUCUUAAGUAUGUUUUCUUUGGUUAUGGUGUCCAUAAAAAGGGCUAUCGGUGUUUUGACGAAUCUCUAAACGGCUCUUCACUACCAUGGACUGCACCUUUCUGGAAGAGAAAUAUUUUUUUCCCUCGCCAACUAGCAGUGAGGGGGAGACAAAGGCACAAUCACCACCACUGUCAAAUUGGCUUAGUCAGGGGGGCUAGAACAUGAUCAUUCUUCUCUUCCUGAGUCUACACCAGAACUGGGAGACACUGACCAUCUAGUACCGUCCUCGGCCUCAACGUCACAACCAGAACUUGAAACCGUAGAAUAUCCUGAGGAACACACAACUGAGGUAUGUGAAUCUAAACUUUCCCCUAUUUCUAAUAACCUUACCACUGAAUCCAUUUCUCUUGAGGUUCCUGAAACAGGCCAAUAUGUUCUACCCCCUCGGAAUAAUAGAGGAAUUCCACCCAGGAGAUAUGAUUCGGAAUUCGAGGCAGCCAGGUCCAGAUACCCUGUGGCAAAUGUUACCAGAGGAAAAAGACUAUCACCUCAGUUGGUCAACCUACAGAAAAAUAUUUGCUCAGAAUGGAUACCAAAGGAUGCCACAGAGGCCCAGAAGGACAAAAGAUGGGUUGAAGCGAUGGAGACCGAGAUGGAUGCCCUGGAGAAAAAUAAGACCUGGGAAAAAUACUGGCUACCCAAGGGAAAACGAGCAGUGGGAUGCAAAUAGGUGUUUAUCAUAAAGUAUAAGUCAGAUGGAACGGUGGACAGAUAUAAAGCUAGACUUGUAGCAAAAGGAUAGACUCAGACAUAUGGAGUUGACUAUUCUGAAACAUUCUCUCCAAUAGCAAAAAUUAAUACAAUACGGGUCCUAUUCUCUCUAGCUGCAAACCUAGACUGGCCACUUCACCAAUUUGAUGUGAAAAAUGCUUUCUUACAUGGUGAUCUACAGGAGGAAGUAUACAUGGAUGCUCCACUAGGGUUCAUGAGUGGAUAUAGAAGGGGAGAAGUGUGUCGAUUAAGGCGAGCCUUGUAUGGGUUGAAACAGUCACCCAGAGCAUGGUUUGGGAGAUUUACUCAAGCAAUGAAGAAAAAUGGAUAUCUGCAGAGUAACUCCGAUCACACUUUAUUCUUAAAGAGGCAAGGAAGGAAGAUCAUGUGUUUAAUUAUAUACGUGGAUGACAUGAUUAUAACUGGAGACGAUGUGGACGAUAUCAAACAACUGAGGGACAACUUAUUCCAAGAAUUUGAGAUGAAAGACCUGGGGAUGUUAAAAUAUUUUCUUGGAAUCGAAGUUCUAAGAUCAAACCAGGGAAUUCUGAUAUCACAGAGAAAGUACAUUCUUGAUCUGUUAACUGAAACAUGAAUGAUAGAUUGCAAAUCAGUCGAUACUCCGAUAAUGGUCAAUCACGAGUUGAGCAAGGACUCAAAAGAAGGACCCACAGACAAAGGGAGGUACCAGAGACUGGUAGGAAAACUGAUUAUUUAUCACACACCAGACCAAACGUGGCAUAUGCUGUGAGUUUAGUAAGUCAGCUCAUGCAUGAUCCAAAACAAGACCAUAUGGAGGCAGCAUUGAGAAUCGUUCGAUAUCUAAAAGGAACAGCUGGGAUGGGCAUGUUGUUCAAAAAGAAUGGUCAUUUCAGUAUCAGUGGAUAUACGGACGCAAGUUGGGCAGGAGAUCUCUCCGACAGACGAUCUACUUCAGGAUACUUUACCUUUGUCGGAGGAAAUUUGGUAACGUGGAAAAGUAAGAAACAAAAGGUGAUGGCAGAAUUCAGGGGAGUAGCAAAAGGACUGGCAGAACUCCUAUGGAUCAGAAAGUUGAUGUUUGAGCUUGAAUUCCCAUCAAAGGAUGCAGCUGAACUCCAUUGUGACAAACAAGGCAGCAAUAAGUAUUUCUGAAAAUCCAAUUCAGCAUGACCGAACAAAACAUGUUGAAAUAGACCGACAUUUUAUCGAAGAAAAGUUGGACAGUGGUCUGAUAUCUUUACCGUUUAUUCGAUCAGAUGAUCAAUGGGCGGAUAUCCUAACCAAAGCAGUAGCUGGACGAAUAUUCUAUAAGGUUUUGGGCAAGUUGAAUAUACUAGAUCCACAUAAACCAACUUAAGGGAGAGUGUUGGAAAAAAUCUUCUGUCAUAAUUAUAAAUAAAUCAGUGAUCAAGUCUUACUAUUUUUAAUAUAGCAUGAUUCUAAGACAUAAUUAAGGAUACAAUCAAAAGCCUAAUUAUUCAUAUUAUGUACUAUAAAAAUUUUAUAACAUAGUACAUGAUAAGUAAAAAAAUAAAAACAGUUUUUUUCCUUUAAUUUCAAUAAGGCAAUUAGUUCGUGAUGCACCGGUGGGUCACCACCUAAUUUAAGAUAUUAGAAAAAAGAUGAAAACUUUUCCCUCUAAUGGGUAAUGGUGUAUGAAGUCGAUGUAACUUAUUUGAAGUUGCCUGCAUAUAAGACAAUUCAACGGCUUGGGUUAGGUUAAAUCGGCUAUGGCUAUAAAUAAAACCCAUUUGUUUGACAAGAAACCCACUUGAUUGACUUGCCUCAUCAUUUUCCAUCCUGUAGAAUUAAUUAAUUUUAGCAGUUUAUUAUUUAUUAAUUAAUAAGAAUAUAAAGUAUUCCAUUGUUGUUUCCUUGAACAAGCAGCAAAAACAUUUCCUCGACAGAGUUCAAGAAUAGCACCAGCAUCCACGGAAGUGUAGAGUCUGGUGUGGGAGGAAACCCAUCACCAGUUUGGAAGGUUAUAAUCCCAGUACCAAAGUCUCCCACUUGAUUGAUUUUGUCUACUGGUAAGAAUCAUUACAUUCCUUAAGACAAAAUCGUUGGCCUACUUUACUUGACUUGUGCAGUUAUUGCCGGAAUCUCCGAUUUGAUGUCUUUAUUUCCCUCUUCUUAUGCUGUCUAUUAGUGGGGAAGACUCGUAUUCCUUGAAAGUGGAAACUGCUGCUCCAGUCAAGAUUAAUCAAUUCUUGUAAUAAUAUCGAUCUUAUUAUCUAUUAUUUUCAUGUCAGUGAAGAUGGUAAUAGCAUUUUAGAAAUAACAUGGGUAGAAGAGAGUUCAUGGUGAAGUCUGGAUUUUUGUGUUUCUUCUUGUUCAAUUUGUUCUCAUUUGCGUAUUGUUCUGUAAUUUAUAACAUAACUACAACCAGAGCUGUCUCACCAGAACAAACUCUAAACUCUCCUCGUCAAAUUUUUGAGUUGGGUUUCUUUACUCCUAACAAUAAUUCUCGUAAUCAAUACGUGGGAAUAUGGUUUAAGGAAGUUUCUCCUCAGACUGUGAUUUGGGUGGCAAACAGAGAGAAUCCCAUUACAUCUUCCUCAGCGAGUCUCACAAUUGGCAGUGAUGGGAAUCUGAGGCUUCUGGAUGGGCAGAGGAACACUAUCUGGUCGACGAAUAUUUCUAGCCAAUCGAAUAGUUCAAUUGCUGUACUCUCAGAUGAUGGAAACUUCAUUUUGAGGAACAGUAUAACAGGAGAUGAUCUAUGGGAGAGCUCUCAGCAUCCGUCCGAUUCUCUCUUGCCAGGCACAUGGUUAGCCUACAAUGAAACAACUGGGAUGAGACUUACUGCAACUUCCUGGAGAAGUAACAAUGAUCCAUCUAUUGGGGACUUUACUGCUGGUGUACCACCGUUGACACCGCCACAAGCCUUCGUUUGGAAGGGAUCGAAACCUCACUGGAGAAGUGGGCCGUGGGCCAAAACCAAGUUCAUCGGAAUACCAGAAAUGAAUGCUGAUUAUAAAUGUGGACUCACACUUAUAGAAGGUCUUCAGCCUGGAAUUGCUUAUCUCACUGUUAGUGUACUCAGGAACUGCAGUUACUCAAUGUUUGUGGUUUCACCAGCAGGAGUUUUAAGGUUCUUGUGUUGGGUGAAAGAGAGGGGCUGGUAUGCAAGGUGGGAGGCACCAGUCACUCCCUGUGAAGUCUAUGGAGCCUGCGGACCGUUCGGGGUUUGCCUGAGAUAUGCACCAAAUUUAACCUGUAGAUGCUUGAAAGGGUUUGUGCCAAAGUCUGACGACGAAUGGAGGAAAGGCAACUGGACCGGAGGAUGUAUCAGGCGAACUGAAUUAAGUUGUGGGGGAAAUACAAGUUCUGUUAAUGCACAAGGAGGAAAACCAGAUGGAUUCUUGAAGGUUGGUGGGUUAAAACUUCCUGAUUGGCAUGAAUACUUGAAGGUUUUCGAUGAAAACGAGUGCCACCAGCAUUGCUUGAGUAACUGUUCUUGCUCAGGUUAUUCAUAUGUAAAUGGAAUAGGCUGUUUGUUUUGGACAACAAACCUUUUGGAUAUGCAUGAGUUACCCUUUGGUGGAGAAGAUCUUAAUCUUCGCCUUGCGCUUUCAGAAUUGGGUGAAAGUAAUUACAAUUGAACAACUUGUGAAUUUCUUUGUUUCCAUUUUAUUCUUUUCUUGCACAGCAAUUACUAAUUGGGAUCAUUGUUAUCUUGUAGGUGAUCAGAAGACUCAUAUAAAGAUCAUUGUCAGUGUUAUUACUGUUUCAUCUGUCAUCCUCAUUGGUGCCAUGUUUUGUUGUUUCUUGAGGUGGAGAGCGAAGAAAAGGUCUAAGCCUAAAACAAAUGGUAAGAAACUGAUUGCUACUUCAAUGAUGUUGUACAAUGAUCAGGCAACUAGAUUUGACUUAAAUGUUGAAUUUGAAAUGGAUAUGUUCAUAUGAUAUCUAGUAACAAACAACCAAUGUUUUACAAGACAUUAUAGAAAAAGUCCUUAAAAAAGGUUUGACAGCUUAAAGUGCUAAUAAAGGCUAAGCUUAUUGAUUUGAAUUUUGUGCUUACUGAUAGAUGCUAAAGAAACACAAACGCUUUGAUUUUGCAGCUCCAAGUGACAUGUCUAGAGAAAAUUCACAACCAAUCAUGUGGAGAAGCCCUUUAGAAGAUGAAGAUUUAAUAGAGUUGCCUUUAUUUGAUUUCAAUAACAUAAUGCUUGCAACUAACAACUUUGACAUAGAGAACAAACUUGGGCAAGGAGGCUAUGGUCCGGUUUACAGGGUAGGUACUUCAAUUUUUUUUUUCCCAAAGGCAAAAAUGUUUUACUUCAUUGGAGAAAAUAAAACAUGGAGUGUUAUUUUGUUUGGAUAUUAGGGAACAUUAGAUGGGAAGGAUGUGGCAGUUAAAAGACUUUCUAGUAGCUCUAGUCAAGGCAUAGGAGAGUUCAAGAAUGAGAUGAAGUUGAUCUCCAAACUCCAACACAGAAAUCUUGUCAGGCUCUUAGGUUGCUGCAUUGAAAGAGAAGAGAAGAUAUUAGUUUACGAAUACAUGCCGAACAAAAGUUUAGAUACUUAUCUAUUUGGUUGGUUUUCUUUCGGAUUUUUUCUUUUCUAAUUUCUUAUAAUCAUUUUAUUUUGUAGUGCGUGUAAAAUGAACUUAUGUUAUCAUAUAUAUUGAUUAGAUACAACAAGAAAGGCUGAGCUUGAUUGGACUAAACGUUUCAACAUUAUAAUGGGAGUUGCUCGAGGACUUCUUUAUCUUCAUCGUGAUUCUUGUUUAAGGGUUAUACAUAGAGAUUUAAAAGUGAGUAAUAUUCUUUUGGAUGAGAAGAUGAAUCCAAAAAUAUCAGAUUUUGGUGUAGCAAGAAUUUUUGAAGGCACACAAGAUUUGGGAAGCACUCGCAACGUUGUAGGAACAAUGUAAGUAAUCUUAUUUACCAAAAUGCUUGCGCUUUCAUGCUAGCUGGUAACAUCGUCCAUAAAACAUAACGUACAAGUGCUAAAUACUUUAGUUCUCUUCUCAAAUACAGAGGUUAUAUGGCUCCAGAAUAUUCGUUUGGUGGCAUAUUUUCAGAGAAAUCUGAUGUGUUCGGCUUUGGAAUAUUGAUCUUGGAAAUUGUCAGUGGUAGGAAGACUAGCAGCUUCCAAUAUGAUGAACAAUACAUGAAUCUUCUAUCUUAUGUAAGUCAGCACUAUAAUCACAUUGAUGUUGUUCUUUUUCCUUGAUUUAGAUUUCGUACUUAAUUGGGAAGAAAAUGCAAAUAUUUUGCAGGCAUGGCAAUCAUGGUCUGAAAGCAAGGGUGUAAGAAUGAUAGAUGAAGCAUUGAUGGACUCAUUUUCCUCUACAGAAGUAAGCAGAUGUGUAAAUAUUGGACUUUUAUGUGCACAAGAUCAUGCUGCUGAUAGGCCAUCAAUGGCAGCCGUAGUUUCUAUGCUAAGCGAUGAAAAAACAAAGCUUCCUGAACCAAACCAGCCUACUUUUACGUUUAAAAGCAUCUCCACCAGCAAUUUUCAAGCACAAAGCAACUCUACACGGUCUGUAAAUAAGGUCACGGAAUCAAUCAUUGAACCACGAUAAACGCCAACUUGUCGGUUAGCUUGUAUUAGACUUUGAUAAUCUCACGCUUAUCCUUGUUGUAGAUUUUAGUCAUACCUAGCUUGAGAUUAUUAGGGCUGUGUAAUCGGUCG